rnacentral:rRNA from 1 species
UACGUAGGGGGCAAGCGUUGUCCGGAAUCAUUGGGCGUAAAGAGCGUGUAGGCGGCUUGGCAAGUCUGACGUGAAAUCCCGCGGCUCAACCGCGGUAGGUCGUUGGAAACUGCCUCGCUGGAGUCCGGAAGAGGAGAGCGGAAUUCCUGGUGUAGCGGUGGAAUGCGCAGAUAUCAGGAAGAACACCCGUGGCGAAGGCGGCUCUCUGGGACGGUACUGACGCUGAGACGCGAAAGCGUGGGGAGCGAACAGG